GAGGCUAGGUCUCUCCGCCGCGCGUCCUGAGGAGUGGCUUUUGGUCCCUCAGCGAUUGUUGACCGUUUGCGGAGCGUCUGCAGUGCGCUAGACCCACACUGUCCACAACCCCGCUCCCCUACCUCCCCCGACACACACCGCGGGAAGAAGCCGUUUGGGAAGAAGUCGUUUGGGGCAUCUGAGCUUCAGAGAAGUUAAGCGAUUUACCAAAGGCAAUGGCAGGGGACAGAUUUGAAUUCACGUUUCUUAGAUUCCAGAGCGCAGCCUUUUUGCUCCCAAAGCAGCAAGACAGUUUUCUAGGAUUAAAUGGGAUAAUCAAAAUAAAGCAUUUCUUUAUUUUUUAUUUUUUGAGACGGAGUCUCGUUCUGUCACCCAGGCUGGAGUGCAGUGGCGCAAUUUCGGCUCACUGCAACUUCUGCCUUCCGCGUUACAGUGAUUCUCCUGCUUCAGCCUCCUGAGUAGCUGGGAUAGCAGGCGUGCACCACCACGCACAGCUAAUUUUUGUAUUUUUAGUAGAGACGGGGUUUCACCAUGUUGGCCAGGCUGCUCUCGAACUCCUGACCUCAGGUGAUCCGCCCGCCUGGCCUCCCAAAGUGCUAGGAUUACAGGCGUGAGCCACUGCUCCUGGCACAGAGUAAAACAUUUCACUUAAGGACUGGCACAGAGCGUACGCUUAGAUGUGAGCUGCUCAAAGGAAGCAUGGGUUGUUUCCUGGAGUAGAGGUGGGGGGAAUCCCCUGCAGAAGACCGCAACCGAGAGGGGCCUUGGGAAAUAGCAAGGAUUUGGACAGAUAAAGACGUGGGAGAGACCACCUCCCAGGCCCUGCCAGCCUCCACGACAGAAAUCGAGGAAGCGUCUGAAGGGCCAGGUGCAGAUGAGGUGCAGGUGUUCGCUCCUGCCAACGCCCUGCCCGCCCGGAGUGAGGCGGCAGCUGUGCAGCCAGUGAUUGGGAUCAGCCAGCGGGUGCGGAUGAACUCCAAGGAGAAAAAGGACCUGGGAACUCUGGGCUACGUGCUGGGCAUUACCAUGAUGGUGAUCAUCAUUGCCAUCGGAGCUGGCAUCAUCUUGGGCUACUCCUACAAAAGGGGGAAGGAUUUGAAAGAACAGCAUGAUCAGAAAGUGUGUGAGAGGGAGAUGCAGCGAAUCACUCUGCCCUUGUCUGCCUUCACCAACCCCACCUGCGAGAUUGUGGAUGAGAAGACUGUCGUGGUCCACACCAGCCAGACUCCAGUUGACCCUCAGGAGGGCAGCACCCCCCUUAUGGGCCAGGCCGGGACUCCUGGGGCCUGAGCCCCCUCAGUGGGCAGGAGCCCAUGCAGACACUGGUGCAGGACAGCCCACCCUCCUACAGCUGGGAGGAUCUAUCACUUUGUGUUCUGGUUAAAACCCUACCAUUCCCCCCCUUUUUUGGUGAAUCCUAGUAAGUUACAGAAGCAGGUGGCACUGUGGGCUGAGGGUAAGGCUGGGUAGGGUCCUAACAGUGUUCCUUCUCCAUCCCUUGGAGCAGAUUUUGUCUGUGGAUGGAGACAGUGGCAGCUCCCACAGUGAUGCUGCUGCUAAGGGCUUCCAAACAUUGCCUGCACCCCUGGAACUGAACCAGGGAUAGAGAGGGAGCUCCCCCAGGCUCCUCUGUGCUUUACUAAGAUGGCCUCAGUCUCCACCAUGGGCUUGAGUGGCAUACACUGUUAUUCAUGGUUAAGGUAAAGCAGGUCAAGGGAUGGCACUGAAAAAAUAUAUUUAGUUUUUAAUAUAUUUGGGAUGGAACUCCCUACUGACCUCUGAGAACCGGAAAUGAGUUUGUACAGAAGUCAGAACUUUGGGUUGGGAAUGAGAUCUAGGUUGUGGCUGCUGAUAUGCUUCAGCUUGCUGGCAAUGAUGUGCCUUGACAACCGUGGGCCAGGCCUGGGCCCAGGGACUCUUCCUGUUUCAUAAGGAAAGGAAGAAUUGCACUGAGCAUUCCACUUAGGAAGAGGAUAGAGAAGGAUCUGCUCCGCCUUUGGCCACAGGAGCAGAGGCAGACCUGAGAUGCCCCAGUUUCUCUUCAGGGAUGGAUAGUGACCUGUCUUCAUUUUGCACAGGUAAGAGAGUAGUUAGCUAACCUAUGGGAAUUAUACUGUGGGGCCUUGUGAGCUGCUUCUAAGAGGCUAACCUGGAAACUAAGCUCAGAGGCAAGGUAAUAAAGCACUUCAGGGCUUGCUCCUGAAGUGGGCCUGAUUUAGCAGGUGGUCCUACGGGCGUCCAGGUCAGCACCUUCCUGUAGGGCAAUGGGGCUAGGGUCACAGCCCCUAACUUAUAAAGCAAUCAAAGAACCAUUAGAAAGGGCUCAUUAAGCCUUUUGGACACAGGGCCCCAGAGAGGAAAAAGUGACUUGCCCAAGGUCGUAAGCAAGCUACUGGCAUGACAAGAGCCCAGCUUCCUGAGUGCAACAUUUCUCCACUGCACUGUGCUAGCAGCUCAGCAGGGCCUCUAACCCGUGAUGUCACACUCAAGAGGCCUUGGCAGCCCCUAGCCAUAGAGCUUCCUUUCCAGAACCCUUCCACUGCCCAAUGUGGAGACGGGGGUUAGUGGGGCUUUCUAUGGAGCCAUCUGCUUUGGAGACCUAGACCACAGGGGGUCUCUUGGUGUUAGUGAUGCUGGAGAAGAGAAUAUUACUGGUUUCUACUUUUCUAUAAAGGCAUUUCUCUAUAUACA
rnacentral:sRNA from 1 species